CUACGGGUCGCAGCAGUAAGGAAUAUUGCGCAAUGGAGGCAACUCUGACGCAGCCAUGCCGCGUGCAGGAAGAAGGCCUUAUGGGUCGUAAACUGCUUUUAUCUAGGAAUAAACCCCCGAACGUGUUCGGGGCUGAAGGUAUUAAACGAAUAAGCACCGGCUAACUCCGUGCCAGCAGCCGCGGUAAUACGGAGGGUGCAAGCGUUAUCCGGAUUUAUUGGGUUUAAAGGGUGCGCAGGCGGGCUAUUAAGUCAGUGGUGAAAUCCCGGGGCUCAACUCCGGAACUGCCAUUGAUACUGAUAGUCUUGAGUUUGGUUGAAGUGGGCGGAAUGUAGCAUGUAGCGGUGAAAUGCAUAGAUAUGCUACAGAACACCAAUCGCGAAGGCAGCUCACUAAGCCAAAACUGACGCUCAUGCACGAAAGCGUGGGGAUCAAACAGGAUUAGAUACCCGGGUAGUC
rnacentral:rRNA from 1 species